rnacentral:rRNA from 1 species
CCACGCCGUAAACGAUGAAUACUAGGUGUCGGGGGGUACCACCCUCGGUGCCGCAGCAAACGCAUUAAGUAUUCCGCCUGGGGAGUACGGUCGCAAGAUUAAAACUCAAAGGAAUUGACGGGGACCCGCACAAGCAGCGGAGCAUGUGGUUUAAUUCGAAGCAACGCGAAGAACCUUACCUAGACUUGACAUCUCCUGAAUUACUCUUAAUCGAGGAAGUCCCUUCGGGGACAGGAAGACAGGUGGUGCAUGGUUGUCGUCAGCUCGUGUCGUGAGAUGUUGGGUUAAGUCCCGCAACGAGCGCAACCCUUAUUGUUAGUUGCUACUAUUAAGUUAAGCACUCUAACGAGACUGCCGCGGUUAACGUGGAGGAAGGUGGGGAUGACGUCAAAUCAUCAUGCCCCUUAUGUCUAGGGCUACACACGUGCUACAAUGGCUGGUACAACGAGCAGCAAACCCGUGAGGGGGAGCAAAACUUGAAAGCCAGUCCCAGUUCGGAUUGUAGGCUGAAACUCGCCUACAUGAAGUUGGAGUUGCUAGUAAUCGCGAAUCAGCAUGUCGCGGUGAAUACGUUCCCGGG